GUGGCCCCUUUCAUCUCUGCACUUCAGACUGCGGAACGGUGCUGAGCAGGUGAUCCUGGCUUCUCAGAGUCAAGAGAGCUAGUUCAGUCGCCUGUUGUACGUUCCCCAUCUCGCCCACCUCCUUCCCAGUUGGAACAUAUCAUCUAUUUUUGACCUUGGAAAUCUAAGAGGAAAAUGAUCAGAAACAGAUUUGCCUCAGUCCUAUCAGUGUUCCAGAUUACAAGACUUCCAGUAUGGAGAGCCACAAUAGCACAGGUGAAAAAGAGAAAAGAAAGUAGCCAUACCAAUGCUGAAGUUAUGAGUUACCUGCAAAAGUGGAAAGACAACUUAAAGCUAAGUACUUCCAUGAGACAAUUAUCAAUACAGUCUGAGUCUGCCUUAUGUGUUAAGCCCCAGGGAAAAAAAAGAAAAUUUAAAAUUUCUUUGCAUAAACUAUGCUUAAAAUCCACUACUGGAAUGAUUAUAUUUUAG
rnacentral:lncRNA from 1 species